GGCAGGUGCUAUAUGACAUCACCUUGACAGGAGAGAGUGCAGGGUAAACUUGGAUGGACCUCGAUGUGAUGUGCACAACGUGGGACUGUCACCCAGGACAGCAGCUGAUAAGCCUGUGGAGAUACCUUUUAACUGGAGAUCCCUUCAAAAAGAUUGCCAACAGUUACCGUGUAGAGUACUGCCAGAUUGGGUGACCAGGGCCAUCUCGGACUGCCUCCUGGGGAAUUCAGGCGUGUGAAGGCUACCUGUGUCCUGCAUAACUUCAUACGAAUGGACACGAGGACCAGGAGGGGAUCUGCAGCUCCCCGCCGUGUGCCAGAGGAGAAGUCUGCUGCUCUGCAGGAUGUUUCAAGGAUGGUGUCCAACAACGCAGGAAGAGAGGCAAUCUGUGUGCGGGAGAUUUUCACCUCCUACUCCUACUCCUGCUGUUCCCUGGCAACACCAUAGACUACACUAUGCACAACCAAAGGCUCUUCCAUUUACUUAGCUAUGUCAACUGCAGUUAUUCUAUUCCCAGUUUCUUUCCCUUUGAUUUCUGCUUCUCGGGUGAGGGUACUGUUUAGGUAAUGGUGUGAUGUCUGUACAAAAACAAAACAGGCUAUUUUAAGUCCCUGUUGGGGUUUGUUUCCUUAUUCCUUGUCAAUCAUUGGCUCAUUGGUGAAAUUAGCAUUUUGACAACAUCUUUAAUUAAAUCGUUCAAAAACCUUUAUUAAUGCAAUUGCAGACAGAAGUUGACAACAGGAACAUAACGCAUGUUUCCGAGUAAGUUCUGCAACAUUUAAAAGGUCCCAAGUUAUUUUAUUAAACCCGAAGUCCAGCCCUUGUGAUGUCACUGUAUACGUCAUUACCUUCUACGCUUCAGACCAAGCCCAUGCAUACACAGCUACAUAAACUUGCAAGAGAGAUACAAUAGUUCCAGUGUUUCUAAGGCCUAGGCAAUAAAUGUCUGCUCCCCAAAGUUGAUUUAUUGUG